rnacentral:rRNA from 1 species
GGUAUCGCCGUUAGUCAUGUGCAAAUAUGGAUAGCUGUUUUAGCCGUCUUUAUUGACUGGUUUAUAAGAGUUAUCAGAUACCACUUUGAUUAAAUUAGAGUGCUUAAAGCAAGUGUGUUACUUGGAUAUAAAUGCAUGGAAUGAUGGAAUAUGUUGUUAUUCUAUUUGUUGGUUUUUGAAUGAUAAAAUGAUUGAAAGGAACUGUUGGGGGCAUUCGUAUUGUUGUGAGAGAGGUGAAAUUCUUAGACCACAGCAAGACGAACUACUGCGAAAGCAUUUGCCAAGAAUGUUUUCAUUGAUCAAGAACGAAAGUUAGAGGUUCGAAGGCGAUCAGAUACCGCCCUAGUUCUAACCAUAAACUAUGCCAACUAGCAAUUUGCUUUGUAUUUUUUAUGACUAAGUGAGAGGCCACGGGAAACCUAAGUAGGGUUAUGGGGGAAGUAUGGUUGCAAAGCUGAAACUUAAAGGAAUUGACGGAAGGGCACCACCGGGAGUGGAGCCUGCGGCUUAAUUUGACUCAACACGGGAAAACUUACCUGGUCCUGACACUAGAAGGAUUGACAGAUUGAUAGCUCUUUCUUGAUUUGGUGGAUGGUGGUGCAUGGCCGUUCUUAGUUGGUGGAGUGAUUUGUCUGGUUAAUUCCGAUAACGAACGAGACUCUAGCCUAUUAAAUAAUACACGGAAUUUUAUCUUCCGCGGUAUUUCUUAGUGGGAUCAAGCG